GACGAACGCUGGCGGCGUGCUUAACACAUGCAAGUCGAACGGAAAGGCCCUGCUUGCAGGGUACUCGAGUGGCGAACGGGUGAGUAACACGUGGGUGAUCUGCCCUGCACUUCGGGAUAAGCAUGGGAAACUGGGUCUAAUACCGGAUAUGACAUUUCAUGUAGUGUGGGGGGUGGAAAGAUUAAGCGGUGUGGGUUGAGCGCGCGGCCUAUUAGCUUGUUGGUGGGGUAAUGGCCUACCAAGGCGUCGACGGGUGGCCGGCCUGAGAGGGUGGACGGCCACAUUGGGACUGAGAUACGGCCCAGACUCCUACGUGGGGCAGCAGUGGGGAAUAUUGCACAAUGGGCGGAAGCCUUAUGCAGCGACGCCGCGUGCGGGAUGACGUCCUUCGGGUUGUAAACCUCUUUCGACAGGGACGAAGCUUCGGUGACGGUACCUGUAUAAGAAGCACCGGCUAACUACGUG
rnacentral:rRNA from 1 species